GACGAACGCUGGCGGCGUGCUUAACACAUGCCAGUCGAACGGAAAGGCCCUGCUUUUGUGUGGUGCUCGAGUGGCGAACGGGUGAGUAACACGUGAGUAACCUGCCCUUUACUUUGGGAUAACUUCAGGAAACUGGGGCUAAUACCGGCUAGGAGCUCCUGCUGCAUGGUGGGGGUUGGAAAUUUUCGGCGGUUGGGGAUGGACUUGCGGCUUAUCAGCUUGUUGGUUGGGUAGCGGCCUACCCAGGCUUUGACGGGUAGUCGGCAUGGGAGGUGAGCCGGGGUCAAGAGGACUAAGGUACGGCGCAGACGGGAACGGGAGGCAGUGGGGGGGAGUAUUGCACAGUGAGGGGGAGCGUGAGGCAGCGACGCCGGGAGCGGGAUGACGGCCUUGGGGGUGUAAACCGCUGUCGCCUGUGACGAAGCGUGAGUGACGGUAAUGGGUAAAGAAGCACCGGCUAACUACGUG
rnacentral:rRNA from 1 species